rnacentral:rRNA from 1 species
UGAGGAAUAUUGGUCAAUGGGCGGUAGCCUGAACCAGCCAAGUCGCGUGAGGGAAGACGGCCCUACGGGUUGUAAACCUCUUUUGCCGGGGAGCAACGGCGGUGACGUUUCACCGAGAGGAGAGUACCCGGAGAAAAAGCAUCGGCUAACUCCGGGCAAGCAGCCGCGGUAAUACGGAGGAUGCGAGCGUUAUCCGGAUUUAUUGGGUUUAAAGGGUGCGUAGGCGGCGUUCCAAGUCAGCGGUAAAAUUGCGGGGCUCAACCCCGCCGAGCCGUUGAAACUGGCGCGCUUGAGUGGGCGAGAAGUAUGCGGAAUGCGUGGUGUAGCGGUGAAAUGCAUAGAUAUCACGCAGAACCCCGAUUGCGAAGGCAGCAUACCGGCGCCCGACUGACGCUGAAGCACGAAAGCGUGGGUAUCGAACAGG